GUAGUAGAGAGAAAAAGAGAGAAAAAGAGAGAAAAAGAGAGGAAAUGCGAAGAAGAGUAGCAGCGAGUCGUGUUCGAAACAAAAGAGUUACGUCAGGCUCAUUCACCAAAAACGCCUUUGUGCGUUUGGAUAUUCUUAUUCUAAUGCACACGCGGAGUAGGACGAGAAAGAGAAUGGAUGAGUUCGAUAGAGGGAAAGCGUUUAAAACGCAAAGACAAAAUUGCCUCUUCCUUCCGCUCGAUGCGCGCUCGAUGCGCGCUCGAUGCGCGCUCGAUGCGCACUCGUCUGAUGCAUCGUCUGAUGCAUCGACGCGCGCCUUUCUCGUCCAACUCCUGGAAAAUCGUUCCUUCGAUCCUACUAACUUCCUCAAUCGGAAAAAGGACCAAAAUGAAACGAGUAAAAGUGAGAGAUAGAAAACAACAAAUUUUGCUAUGCACUUCCGAAUCAUUUUGUCCAUCAAUGUAUUAACGAGCAGAAGAAGAACACAAGAGUGCGUUGGCGUUACUUCCGUUUGCAUGGAAAUAUCCCGUAAAAUGACUAAUUGUGCAUGAGAUAACGAACAAACGAACAAACGAACGAACGAACGAACGAACGACUGAUAAGUAUUAUACUACGACGUUUAAGCACUCGUAGUUUAAAUAAAUCUCGAGGGGAAAAAAAUGUCCAAAAGCCAUUAUUAUUCGUCACAUAUAAUUAACCGUUUUGUAUUUCUGCGCACGUUUACUUGUAAAACUAAUUAUCCAUCCAUUUCCAACCAACAAAACGUAUAAAGAUACAUUUGCAAAGGCAAAACGUAUCACUGAUUAUUACCUAAAUAUAUUCCUGG